AGACGUCCUUUUUUCCGGGAGCUGCAUGGGGACUGCAUGAGUCCAAAGCCUCGCUGUGAUUUAUGGGGAACAGUUAUAUAUUGGGUCAAAUAAUCCAGUAUUUCUUCACUCUGGUGCUGAAGGUCCGCUGCGGUGCUGUUUACUGUGUUUCACCGUUCCUCUGUUUUCAUUUAAAGCCCCUUAGUCUUAAAACAGCGGCACUAGCGGGCCUCCAGCGGGCCUCCAGCACCACUAGUGAUUACCCUGCCGGAAUAGAUUAUCGUAGCGCGGCGGAGCUCUGUAAGUCCCGGCCCAGUUCCAAAAGACACAACAUCCUCAGUGUCCUGGAGCUCCAGCUGAAGCACUGGCCCAUCCACCUUCUCCAUCCCCACCCAAAAGAGGAAGAUCCAGCAGCAGUGGAGGGUCCCAGGAUGUUGAGAUGGUAGUGCAGAGCGAUUUUUACAUUUUUCAAUUUGUGUAUUGACCCAAGGAGGAUGGGUUCCUCUCAAGGUUUCUAUCUCUCUUUCUGAGAGAAUUUUCUUUGCCGCUGUCUCCUUUGUGCUUACUCAAGAGGUUUGGACACUUUUUUUUUUUUUUUUAACUGUUCUUAAUUUUUUUAAUGACUGUACAUUUCUUUGUCAAUAAAUGUUUUUUUAUUGCUA